CUCCGGAGGGCAUAUAGUAAAAUGCGUAUAGCAUAUUUAUUGAAUUAAUAGACAUCAAUUCCUGUAAAGUGUCGUAUACGUCCAUCGCAUCCUCCGUGCUUUGAAACCUCCAACAAAAGAACAUAAAGUCUCGGCAUUGUAUACGUAUACAAAAUGAUUUUUCGUUAGAGCAAAGCUUUACAUUAUUUAUCAUGGAAUAUGCCGUCCAAAUUUCCUUCCCAUUUUCCGAGAUUGAAAAAAUAGAAUG